AUGUCCUGUAAGGCCUCAGGCUUCACCUUCAGCAGCUUCAGCAUGGGCUGGUUCCGUCAACCACCCGGGAAGGCGCCCGAAUACGUUGCGGGUAUUGAGAGCGAUGGUGGUAGCACCUGGUACGCGGAUGCGGUGCAGGGCCGCUUCACCAUCUCCAGGGACAACGGGCAGAGCAGCGUCUACCUGCAGAUGAACAGCCUCAAGGUGGAGGACACGGCCACCUACUACUGCGCCAAAGGUGCUAGUGCUGGUGCUGGUUAGGCUGCUAGU